CGUCUCUACCCUCAUGUGUAGACUCAGCAGAGUCAAAGCCACAUCUAGCUCAGAGGACUCUGUGUUUCAGGGUCUCAUCUCUGGUCCUUUGCUGACGUCUCAUGUGUCCAGGCUAUCAUGGGUGGAGCCAUAGAGAAGCAAGGUCACAAGGUUUCAGGUUUUUUCUACACCUCAGGACAAUCACUGCCCUCAAAUACUUCAAAUACAACGGUUAUUUUGAAUUUCAUAUCAUGGAACAUAUAAGUCUGGAAAGAAAUGCAUAGAUUUAAAACAAUGACAUAUAAUUAAAAGUUCCUUGCAAACAGAUUAGACGGCAUCAUGGUAGCAGUUUGCACAAAAAUGCAUGUAUAGUGCAGUAGUAGACAGAUUUCUGAAACAUACAAAUGUCAGAAAUUGCAAAGGAAAGACCAUUUGUAUUAGUUACUGCUGGACAAGCUCCCACAGCUACUUAGGGUUGAAAGCAGAGUGGCAAAAUACCAGCAAGGUCUUUCUCAACUUACUUAAAUUGUGGCUGGAAAGUGGAGGCCAUGCUGAGCCUCUGAAGGAGGACGGGGGAAGUUGUGACACAGCUCCAUCUGGCCCAUCAUCUGAAAAGCCGGGGAGAAGGGGGCAUGGACAGAUCACAGAAUUACUGUAA
rnacentral:lncRNA from 1 species